AGAGUUUGAUCCUGGCUCAGGAUGAACGCUGGCGGCGUGCCUAAUACAUGCAAGUCGAGCGAACUGAUUAGAAGCUUGCUUCUAUGACGUUAGCGGCGGACGGGUGAGUAACACGUGGGCAACCUGCCUGUAAGACUGGGAUAACUUCGGGAAACCGAAGCUAAUACCGGAUAGGAUCUUCUCCUUCAUGGGAGAUGAUUGAAAGAUGGUUUCGGCUAUCACUUACAGAUGGACCCGCGGUGCAUUAGCUAGUUGGUGAGGUAACGGCUCACCAAGGCAACGAUGCAUAGCCGACCUGAGAGGGUGAUCGGCCACACUGGGACUGAGACACGGCCCAGACUCCUACGGGAGGCAGCAGUAGGGAAUCUUCCGCAAUGGACGAAAGUCUGACGGAGCAACGCCGCGUGAGUGAUGAAGGCUUUCGGGUCGUAAAACUCUGUUGUUAGGGAAGAACAAGUACAAGAGUAACUGCUCGCACCUUGACGGUACCUAACCAGAAAGCCACGGCUAACUACGUGCCAGCAGCCGCGGUAAUACGUAGGUGGCAAGCGUUAUCCGGAAUUAUUGGGGGUAAAGCGCGCGCAGGCGGUUUCUUAAGUCUGAUGUGAAAGCCCACGGCUCAACCGUGGAGGGUCAUUGGAAACU
rnacentral:rRNA from 1 species